GGGGGCGUUUAUGGAUUCGACGGGGGUAGUUCGAGCAGGGGUAGCGGGUAGUGGGGACGCGUCCACUUUAUCAACGCUAAAGCCUAUUAAAUGGCAAACAACAAACAAACUACGCUUUAGCAGCCUAAGAAACUGUUGGCGUGCUUCUACCUAGCAUCGUCCAUGUGACUAGGAUAGGGGCUAACAUAUAGUGGAAUACGCUGUCUCAUCUCCGCCUGCGGUGAGCUGAAGAAGAUAAUCAGGCUGACCCAACGUAUAGCCUGUUACGGGGCGAUACUCGGGUGACAUCAAAACCGCGACUACACCCGUAGACACCUUUGUGGCGUUGCCUUCGGACAGGGGUUCGACUCCCCUCGCCUCCAUAU
rnacentral:tmRNA from 1 species